AAAAAAAAAUCCAACCUGAAUUAACAGUUUUAUCAAUAAUAAAUGCUGGCUAAUACCAUAUACAAUAAUCAUUGCCAGUGAUGGAUAUCUACCCUUUUUAUUGAUCCUAUUGCAACUGAUCAAUAUUUGUAAUUGAA